rnacentral:rRNA from 1 species
AUAACGGUCCUAAGGUAGCGAAAUUCCUUGUCAGGUAAGUUCUGACCCGCACGAAAGGCGUAACGAUUUGGGCGCUGUCUCGGCUGUAGACUCGGUGAAGUCUUAGUACCUGUGAAGAUGCAGGUUACCCGCGACUAGACGGAAAGACCCCAUGGAGCUUCACUGCAGGUUGAUAUUGGGAUUUGAUGCAGCAUGUACAGGAUAGGUAGGAGGCAAAGAGAUGGAUACGCCAGUAUUCAAGGAGCCGCUGUUGGGAUACUACCCCUGUUGUAUUGGAUUUCUAACCGGACGACGUAGAGCCGUUGACGGGACAGUGUCAGUCGGGCAGUUUGACUGGGGCGGUCGCCUCCCAAAGAGUAACGGAGGCGCCCAAAGAUACCCUCAGCUUGGAUGGAAACCAAGCGCAGAGUGCAAAGGCAAAAGGGUGUUUGACUGCGAGACCAACAAGUCGAGCAGGGACGAAAGUCGGGCUUAGUGAUCCGGCGGUGCUGAAUGGAAAGGCCGUCGCUCAACGGAUAAAAGCUACCCUGGGGAUAACAGGCUGAUCUCCCCCAAGAGUUCACAUCGACGGGGAGGUUUGGCACCUCGAUGUCGGCUCAUCGCAUCCUGGAGCUGAAGUCGGUUCCAAGGGUUGGGCUGUUCGCCCAUUAAAGCGGUACGCGAGCUGGGUUCAGAACGUCGUGAGACAGUUCGGUCCCUAUCUGUCGUGGGCGCAGGAAAUUUGAGAAGAGCUGUCCUCAGUACGAGAGGACCGGGAUGGACGCAUCAAUGGUGGACCAGUUGUCACGCCAGUGGCAUAGCUGGGUAGCUAAAUGCGGAAGGGAUAAACGCUGAAGGCAUCUAAGUGUGAAACCCACUUCAAGAUGAGAUUUCCCAUUGCGCAAGCAAGUAAGACCCCUUAAAGACGAUAAGGUAGAUAGGUCAGGAGUGUAAGCAUGGUGACAUGUUAAGCGGACUGAUACUAAUAGGUCGAGGGCUUGACCGA